AUAAAAAAAGCCGAGCGGUCUAAGGCGCUGCGUUCAGGUCGCAGUCCGGUCUUCCUGGCGUGGGUUCGAAUCCCACUUCUGACA
rfam:Ixodes scapularis strain Wikel colony gcontig_1108379481760, whole genome shotgun sequence.